UCGCCUGGAGCCAAACUCCUCCGCUCUGCCGGGAGACUCCAGAGCCAAACGGGCGUGUGCCGGAGCAGCCGUGAGUCGGUCCAGGGAGAGGGGAAGGGACUGAGGGCACACGAGGCUGUGAGGAAGGGCCGGAUGAUCCCGUGGACAGGCGGCUCCAGCUGCUUCCGCUGGCACUGGGAGAGCAGGGCUGGUUGCACAGGGAGGAGGGAACAGCCAGGGCUCCCUGUCCCUCUGCCUUUCCACGCCAGGGGAAACUGAGGCACGGAGAAAGCAGAAAGGAUAAAGGCUGCAUCAUCCAGAGGGAUGAACGCCAGGUCUCCUGCGGCACAGAGACCUGGAUCCCACCUCCCUGCUCUCCUUGCUGUCCUGGACCUCUCCUACAUCCAGGAAGGCCCCACGUCUCUUCCAAGGCUCCGUCUUCUACAGAUCCCCCGUGGUGACUUCCAGUCCCGGAUCCUCACACGGGAACGGUGCCUGGGGCUCGUCUGCCAGGACAGAGGUGGCCACAGGGAGAUGUUGCAGGGCAGGAAGCGGGUGAUGGCACCGGGAAGGAGAGGGAGGAACAUCCGCAGGCUCUCGGAUCCGCUUCCCCCCGGUGCUUCACUAAACAUCACAUAUGGAAAAGUGCUGUUACUCCUGCUUGGGACAAGGUCUGAAGUGCACCAGGACUGAGGAGCUGAUCAUGGACAGGCAGCAGAACUCAGUGCCCUGCUCCUCGCCCCACUUCAGUCACUCCUCCUCAUCUGCCCCUGCACUGCAGCCCCUCCUCUGCCUGCACCACUCCUGCACCAGGAGCCACAUCCAUCCUGGAUCCAUCCCAUACUCCUGACAGGCCCCUCUCCCUUCUCAGUCAGCCCAGAGCCACAGAAAGUUUCAGGGUCGCUUCUUCCUCACAGAAAUUACUCAGUUUAGCCAAAAGCCAGAGCAGUGACUGCUUGUGGGCUUUCAAAGGCAAACAUUUCCACACUGCUCUCAGAAACCACACUGGGUUGAGUCCUUCAUCACUGCUUUUGUUAUUUUAGUUAUCCCCUCCAGCUCCUCUCCCUCCCUGUUUAUCUUCUCUGAAAAGCACCUUCUGGCUUUAAAAGUUUAGUUCUUCUUUUCAAAGACAAAACACCAGCGUGAGAACUUGGAGUACCUUUACAUUCAAGAGAGACUUUUGCCUUACGACUCCUCUUUGAAAUAAUUCCUUUGUUUGAUCAUUUAUGCCUUUUUCUUUCCUGAAACUUGGAUCUGUUGGGCUGGGAGGUAAGGUUAUGGUUGAUCACUUCUGCUUUGCUCUCUGCUUCUCAGACACUGAAAUAUCGCACUGUGGGUGAGCACCAUCCUGCUGCAGCAAAACAAAGGUGGAUUUUGUUUGUAAAUUGUCUCUGGAAAGCAAAUCAGAAAGUUCUUGGAAAGCAAAACCUCCUGCUUCUUCCUGAACAACAGAACACAGGACCACUUUGAUUAGCACCAAAAGGAUUUUAAAUGAAUAGUUCCAGGGAGCUCCUUUCAAAUCAUAAAAUGUCAAUUUUACAUAAAAGUGUGUUUACAAAUAGUUUCUGCUUUACACUCAGCUCUGCCCAUUACUGAUCAGAAGUUAUAUACACGCAAACUAGCUCAGCAGCUUCAACCACUUGCAAGGGAGGACUGCAGAAUUUAUUUAAGAAAUAAAAAUAGGAUUUUCCUGGUUCCUAGAAAUUCUCUUCGGCCUGCCAGACCCAGUCACCUGCCGGCUCCUGCAGCCUCGGGAGAGCACUAAGCUUUCGGGGAGAAGGGGUACUGUGGGUGCCACCAAUCCAGGAGCCUGACGCUGUGCACGGGGUCCAGCACCACCUGCACCCCCUGCUCCAGGCGGGGCUUCUUCCCAUUGCGGACGGGGGUGUCCUGGAACACGAGGCGCACGCGGUGGUGCCGCAUGUCGGUGCUCACGUUGAUGGUGAACUGCAAGAGAGGAGAGACCAGAGGGGCUUCAGCAAAACCAACACCAGUUCUCAGCACAGCACUUCUAGGUUUUUGUGACUUCUCCUGGCCCGUGCAAGUCUGAAGUGUUUCAGAGUUUGUCGCAGUCACAGGGACCGGUUUAUUGCCCUGUGGGAUAACCAACCCUGUGUGUGCUACACCCUCUGUGCCAUUGCUGAGGGGCUGCUAAUAAAGGGAUAACCAAAUCUGUG